rnacentral:tRNA from 1 species
CCGUCGAUAGCUCAGUUGGUAGAGCGGAGGACUGUAGAGCAGGCGGGCAGCAGCUAUCCUUAGGUCGCUGGUUCAAAUCCGGCUCGACGGA